GCAGAAGGAUCAUUAGUGAAGAUUUGGGCAGGCCAUACGGACGCCAAAAAGUGUCCCUGGCCGCCUACACCCACUAUACAUCCACAAACCCGUGUGCACUGUCUUGGAGAAAGGCUUCAGAGAAGUUUUUUGUGGCCUCUCUUGGGGUCUUUCUUCGCUACAAACUCGAAUGGUUAGUAUGAACGUGGAACUUGGUUGGACCGUCACUGGCCAACAAACUAUACGCAACUUUCGACAACGGAUCUCUUGGUUCUCCCA
rnacentral:misc_RNA from 1 species